rnacentral:rRNA from 1 species
AUACGUAGGGGACGAGCGUUGUCCGGAAUUACUGGGCGUAAAGGGCGCGCAGGCGGAUAUUUAAGUCAGCUGUAAAAGGCAUGAGCUCAACUCAUGUAUGCGGUUGAAACUGGGUAUCUAGAGUGCUGGAGAGGUAGGCGGAAUUCCAGGUGUAGCGGUGAAAUGCGUAGAUAUCGGGAAGAACACCAGUGGCGAAGGCGGCUUACUGGCCAGCAACUGACGCUGAGGCGCGAAAGCCAGGGGAGCGAACGGGAUUAGAUACCCCGGUAGUCCUGGCCGUAAACGAUGAAUGCUAGGUGUGGGUGUCGAGAGGCAUCCGUGCCGGAGUUAACGCGAUAAGCAUUCCGCCUGGGGAGUACGAUCGCAAGAUUGAAACUUAAAGGAAUUGACGGGG